rnacentral:lncRNA from 10 species
AGAAGGCGCCCACCCCCGCAAAGGGAAAGCCGCAAGGGCAAGACCUCGGGGCGCCUGGGGCCCCCCUCUGGCGCUAUACCUCCGUGCCAACUCGGGGUAGGAGAGCGGGGCGGAGCGCAGCCUGGGUCACUCUGGUUCAGAGAAGCGGACGAGUCUGAGAAAAGGGGAGGAAGCCCUUCCCCGAAGCCACGCUACCCAGUCAAUCAAGACACGUCCGCGUCGGGUCCCGCCCUCUGGGGGAGGAUUGACAAGGUCUGUGCUUCCAGCCUCCCAGACAGCUCCUGCAUCCGUCUGUGAUAGCGAGGGCUUGGGGGAAGACACGAAGGCAGGAGAGGCUUACAUCCUCUGGAUUUCCCCGUCUUAUCCCAGAAGACAAAGCCAGGUGAGGGCUGGAAGCGGGCUAGGGGGAUCAAGCUGCCUCCCUCCCUUGUGUGCCAGGGGUGGUCCCCAGAAGGAGCUGAUCUGAACAGGCCGGAGAGUAGGACCGGCCGUCACACCCCCACACCUCCAGCCUCGGCCCCACUCCUUGGGCUCUUAAGGUCCUGCCUCAAGAACCACUUCCUGAGUCUUAGUGUAUGUGUGUACACAAAGAAUGAAAGAAGUCUCUAGAGCUAAAGGAAGGAGAUCCGGGCUGGGCUGAGAAGCAUCUUCCAGGAUCACGGCCUUCCCGCGGGACACACCAAGCCCAUUCCGGAUCUUGCUCUUCCUGACCAUGGCUGGCAGGCUGUGGAGGAGGAGCGGAGAGCAGAAGAAAGGAGUAUUCAUCAGGUUCCUUAUUGUGCUGCCACUAGAUGCCAGGCAUGUGCUAGGCUUGGGGGCUGCAAGGAGAGGAAGACAGCGGCCCUGCCCUCUGCUAGCAGGCAGAACCGAGUUCUGGCCACACUGUGAAGAAAGGCAGAAGCCUGCGGUGGCAGCUGGUUAAGCUCAGAGGGAGGGAAAGGGAGAGGAGAAUGGAUUUCACGGAGCAGAAGGAUGUGCUCAAGGUGACCUUGGAGAAUAAAGGGGAGAGCUCCAGGGACAGAGAAGCAGUCGACUGUGGAAAAAAAAGGAGCAUUUUGUAAAGUACAUGGCAGGUUGGGGUUGGCUGGCUCAAAGGGCUUGGGACGGAUGUGGUGAGAUGGGCUGAAGGUGGUCUGAAGAUCAAGAUUGAGAGACUAGAUACAUAACAACCAACUGCAAUGUUUGGUCCUUCAUUGAAUGGUUGAACAAACCAGCUGUGAAAGACAUUUUGGGACAUACAGACAUGGACUGAGAAUUAGACAUAAGAAAAUUAUUUUGUUAACUGUUAUCAUGGUUAACAAAACGGUCAUAUAAUAUGAUUAUGUAGAGAAGUUACUCUAGUUUUUCCUCUUUUUUUUUCUUUAUUCUCCUAUCAGCCAAUGCAUUUGUUACAGGAAAGGGGUCCCAAUCCAGACCACAAGAGAGGGUUCUUGGAUCUCAUGCAAGAAAGAUUCAGGGCGAGUCGCAGUGCAAAGUAUAAGCAAGUUUAUUAAGAAAGUAAAGUGGUGAAACAACAGCUGCUCCAUAGACAGAGUAGGAUGUUCCCCAAAGUAAGAGGAGGGGCUAGGCGCAGUGGCUCACCACACCUGUAAUCCCAGCAUUUUGGGAGGCCUAGGCAGGUGGAUCACCUGAGGUCAGGAGUUCGAGACCAGCCUGGCCAACACGGUGAAACCCCGUCUCUACUAAAAAUACAAAAAGUAGCUGGGCACAAUGAUGUGUGCCUGUAGUCCCAGCUACUCAGGAGGCUGAGGCAGGAGAAUCACUUGAACCCAGGAGGCAGAGGUUGCAGUGAGCAGAGAUCGUGUUGCUG